rnacentral:rRNA from 1 species
UACGUAGGUGGCAAGCGUUGUCCGGAUUUACUGGGCGUAAAGAGCGCGCAGGCGGUCGAAUAAGUCGAAUGUGAAAGCCCCCGGCUCAACUGGGGAGGGUCACUCGAUACUGAUCGACUUGAAGGCAGGAGAGGGAAGCGGAAUUCCCGGUGUAGUGGUGAAAUGCGUAGACAUCGGGAGGAACACCAGUGGCGAAGGCGGCUUCCUGGCCUGUUCUUGACGCUGAGGCGCGAAAGCUAGGGGAGCAAACGGG